rnacentral:rRNA from 1 species
ACCGGCAGCUCAAGUGGUGGCCAUUAUUAUUGGGCCUAAAGCGUUCGUAGCAGGUUUGAUAAGUCUCUGGUGAAAUCCCGCAGCUUAACUAUGGGACUUGCUGGAGAUACUAUCAGACUUGAGGUCGGGAGAAGUUAGGGGUACUCCCAGGGUAGGGGUAGAAUCCUAUAAUCCUGGGAGGACGACCUGUGGCGAAGGCGCCUAACUGGAACGAACCUGACGGUGAGUAACGAAAGCCAGGGGCGCGAACCG